ACCAAAGCACGCAGACUGUUUUUAUUUAUAGGCUGUUUUCAAACUUCAAUUUCAAAUGUUUUUCUUAACAAGUUUUUAUUUUCUAAGAACAGUUUGAAUUGAGGUGUGUUCCGCCUCCUCAUUCAUUCACAUAAAAAAUAGUCUUUUUUUACUUUUGCGGACAAUUUAAUUUUUGGGACAUUUCUGACCGGGACAAAAUUCCCCAAGCAUUUUCCAAUUGUUUGUGCAGUUCAAGUCUGCAGACAUUUGCUCAUCUCCCGUCAGAACAGGAUCUGCACACGUGUUGACAUUUUCCAUCUGUUGCCCUCAUUGUUUUCCUUACUAAUAAUAACUUUGGAAAUGUGUGCGUUUCUAUCAAAUGGCGCAGCGGUCAAAGGCACUGCACAUCAGUGCUAGAGACGUCACUACAGACUCCCUGGUUCAAAUCCAGGCUGUAUCACAACUGGCUGUGAUUGGGAGUCCCAUAGGGCAGCGCACAAUUGGCCCAGCGUUGUCCGAGUUUGGCCGGUGUAGGCCAUCAUAGGUAAAUAAUCAUUUGUUGUUAAAUAAAAUUAAACAUAUGACCAUGGUUUGUUUAUGUGGUCUAUUCAGCAUGGCUCUGUUCUGCCCUGCCUUGCCCCCUUGUGGAGCUCAAAAGUUACUUUCUUACUGUUAGAACUCAAAUCUGGGAUUUUGUCAAUGCAAUAAACUAUUUUUAUGUUA